rnacentral:rRNA from 1 species
UACGUAGGUGGCAAGCGUUGUCCGGAUUUACUGGGCGUAAAGAGCGCGCAGGCGGUCGUUCAAGUCGCGUGUGAAAGCCCCCGGCUCAACUGGGGAGGGUCACGCGAUACUGAUCGACUCGAAGGCAGGAGAGGGUAGUUGAAUUCCCGGUGUAGUGGUGAAAUGCGUAGAUAUCGGGAGGAACACCAGUGGCGAAGGCGACUACCUGGCCUGUUCUUGACGCUGAGGCGCGAAAGCUAGGGGAGCAAACGGG